rnacentral:rRNA from 1 species
GACGAACGCUGGAGGCGUGCUUAACACAUGCAAGUCGAACGAUGAAAUGGAGCUUGCUCCAUGGAUUAGUGGCGAACGGGUGAGUAACACGUGAAUAACCUGCUCUUAAUUUUGGAAUAACUCAGGCAACCUGGUCUAAUACCGGAUAAGUAAACCUGUGGCAUCACUUGGUUUUGGGACGUUUUUCGAUUAAGGAUGGAUUCGCUGCGUAUCAGCUUGUUGGUGAGGUAAUGGCUCACCAAGGCGACGACGGGUAGCCGGCCUGAGAGGGUGAACGGCCACACUGGGACUGAGACACGGCCCAGACUCAUACGGGAGGCAGCAGUGGGGAAUAUUGCGCAAUGGACGAAAGUCUGACGCAGCGACGCCUCGUGAGGGACGAAGGUCUUCGGAUUGUAAACCUCCUUCAGCAGGGACGAAGCGAAAGUGACGGUACCUGCAGAAGAAGCACCGGCUAACUAUGUGCCAGCCGCCGCGGUAA